CGCAGCAGCGGUGUUCUGGACCGGGAAAGCUGAGCUCACUUUUUGCACCUUUCACCCCCCAAAAAACAGUCCAUGUAGCUUCCCCAUCAAGCCUGGUGAACGAAGAGCUGAAGAUGAGGUGUUCUUCGUUAGUGGAGCGCCUGGUCUGCUGCGCGCUUAUUCUCGCCGGUCCGGUGGCAUCGCAGUGGUCAGGUGCACUCAGCUGUUGUCUCAUGCUGUUCCUGAUGUCAAAAUGCUGGGUUGACUGUGGCAAAAUACAGAGGAACACCAUAAUUACUGCUUAUGUUGCAACAGAAGAGGAUUUGUCGGGCCACUUGCUCUGUACGCCCAACUAUCUCCCGCAAUAAUGGCACACUGAGUGCCCUCUUACCACUUAGCAUCUCUUUCCUGUUUGUGGUGAAAAC
ensembl:lncRNA